AUUUGUUUACAGCUUUAAAUAGUGCUCAGAAAACCUCAACAAAGGAAUGGGCAUCUUACAAGUGUUUACGGGAAACAGAAACAUCAACAUAAUUUUGCAUGGAAAUGUCUGCAAGCAUCAAUACAGCAAGCAUCAACACACAAAGUCUGAGAGUGUAGGAAUAAAGGAAACUGAAUGCAAGUAAUUUCCCUUUAUAAUGGGAAAAGAAAUGAGAAAACUGAAAGCUAUGACAGCAAGAGAUGGGACUAAAUGGAAGGAAAGACAUUCCCAGAUACAUUAGCAGUGACCUCCACCGGUUCUCUAGGAGAAGUUUCUACAGUAAAAGAAUAGAAGCUGGUCUGGAAGGAGAAACAAGAAAGAAACCACAUCCCUGCUACAGUCUGGGGAGCAGUAAAUCUGGCUUGGGACAGUGAUACCCUAAGGCUUGCUCCUUGUUGGCAGAAAGAAGAUGUGACAUCAUUAAGGAAGGAUAACUAAGGAAAAGGCUAAAAUUCUGCAUAAGACCUUCCUUAUGACGUGUGCCAAACAGCUUAGGAAAUGCACUCCCGUCUGUGUAAGUUGUUUACCUAAGACCAGACCAUCCUUUACAAAAGGAAAUUGACCAGGACUGAAAGGAGGGGCCGCAUCAGAUCUCAAGAACACCCUAUGGUUGGACAGAGGCUGAGAUAUCUCAUAGUUCAACAGAAAUCAUCUCGAAUUAUGUAAUAUUCUCUGGGAUGUCUUGGCAUUUUGGAGUCUGGUAAACUACAACUUUAAAAUUUUUUAAUUCCCUGUAUUGGUCAGGGUCCCAGCAAGAAACAGAUGAGACACUCAAAUAGGGUGAUUUGAGGAGGGUUUGUUUGUAAGGAACUAUCCACAGAAGUGUUUGCAGGCAACCAGAACAGGUAGUGCAGUAACCUAGGCUAGCAGCCAGCCAAAGAGCUUACCAGCCCCAGGCCCAAAGGGGAACGGAGAGGGGGCAGUUGUGGGAGCCCAGAAGGUUGUGUUGAGUUGGCCAUUUUGCGACAGGCAGUGAAUCUUGCUAAGGCAUACCGCUAGCCCAAGAGGAACUUGUCACUGGGAGGAAGCCAUGGGAAUCAGUACCUCUCCCUUCCUGCCUCCUCUCUCCAGCUGGGACUCCCCAUUGGCCAACGCCCAUGGAAAGCCCUAAUGCAAGAGGGCCCUGGAGGUGAGACCUCCCACUGACAGAGCAGGGGGAGACAUAGGGAAGUGGGUUGGGGACAAAGGGACAUGCCUGGCACACUCCCUUCAAUAAUACCUACU